UCAUAAUAAUUAUUUACACUCGUAGUCCCUAAGUGUGCGUGUGUUUUAGGCGCUAACAGUUUGCUUACAGUUUUGAGAACCGUGUAGUGAGGAUGGUGGUGGCGGUGGUGCUAGUGGUGGCGGUGGCGCUGGAAUAGACAAUGACUAUGUUGGUGACAGAACCCUGGCAGGAGGAGGUGACGUUUUCUCGGACAUUCAGAGUGAGGGAGACCAUGACAGAGGACACAGAAGAAAGAGAUUGUGACAGGUGAAAGCCCUGAGAUUCCCCAGCCCAGUGGCAGCAGGGGAGGCGACGCACACCUCUGCCUCAGCCGCCCAUGGAUAGCUGACAGUCCUGAGAUCCUGUGGUUCAGUGGUGGCAGAGGAGACACACACCUCUGCCUUAGAAGUGCUACAACAAAGCCAGCCAUCUUUGAUCCACAGUGACUGACAGAGAAUGUGGAUGAGAGGACAGAAGAGCCAGUGUUCCAAGUACCACCACCAUCACCACUGCCACCACCACCACCACCAUCAGGAGCACAGAUUCACUGAAGUCUCUACCAAGAUUUCUUUGAGUUUUUUGAUAAAUUUAACUUCCAAGAGAGAGAGAGAGAGAGAGAGAGAGAGAGAGAGAGAUGAUUGUUACUGGUAGUGUGUGAAGCCUGCCCACUGUGCUUGUAUAUACAGGUGUGUGUGUGUGUGUGUGUGUGUGUGUGUGUGUGUGUGUGUGUGUGUGUGUGUGUUUGUUUGUUUGUUUGUUUCGUAUCCUUCACACUGCCUGCCCUAUCUAGCUUGCCACACUCCACGAAGCCAUUGACAGCCUUCUUCUUCCUUUCAUUUGUCUCUCCACAAUCCUACAAGCAGCACCACCAUCCACAUCCUGUCCUCUCCACUCUCCCUAACUCCAAAUCACUUGCAUCACAUCUCCGCCUAGUACUUCUGACACUGCAGUAUCAUGUGCUCCACCACCUCAUCCUCCCCAUGGCUCACGUUGCUGCAAGACUCACACCUGUAACUCCUUGCAUUCACAUCCAACACUGUCCUUGCUUAGAAGAGAUCACCAGACAGGCUUCCCUCAUACCACCUUUCAUACAUUGAGGGUUCUUGUGUUCCAUCCUGUUCUUCUAUUCAUUCAGUUUAUCACUCCUCUGAUCUAUCUCACUUUUCCACCUUGUACCUCAAUGUAAUCUAUCCCUUGUUCUGUCAUGGUGAACCUGUCUCCCCUCCAAAGGUCACAGUAUGUUUGCUGUCUUCCAUUGAAUUGUGUCUCUUUCAUUUAAACUUUUCACUGUGAUGGGCAACAUUUCACUCCACUACAAGAAAUGAAUGGCUUCUUUAUAAUCAUCUUCAGGAAUGGAGAUAGGCAGAUUUUGCAGUUUCUGGCUAGUGCAAUGUUUGAAAGUGGCUGCAGAACAAGGAAACGUCCCACAGUGUGCAAGAAGGGCCACAUGAUGCCAAGUCAGCCAGGUCCUCACACCUUCACCUGUUCACCCCUUCUCUGAUUUUCAUCCUGCUCUUCAUAUAUUUCAAGAAUAGAUUAAUUAUUUUUGGUCCCUCUCUACAUUUGCCCUUAACAUUCUGCUCAUAACUUGCCCUGUCUUCUUCAGUAACCCCCACACACUCACCUCUCCCCAGCUGCUUGUGCGUGCGUGUGUGUGUGUGUUUGAGCAUGUUCUAUUCCUGUAUUUUUAUUUAUUUAUUUAUUUAUUUAUUUAUUUUUAUUUAUUUUUUUUUUUUGAAAGGCCACAGAUUAAUUAGGCCCUCAAGGGUGUUUUUUUUUCCUGUUUCUCUUUGUUAAACUAUCACUGGAAUCAUGAAAUCUCAUUAACUUCCAGUGUAACCUGUUAAACACACAGAGUGAGAGAGAGAGAGAGAGAGAGAGAGAGAGAGAGAGAGAGAGAGAGAGAGAUUUAAUCCUCUCACUGCUUCAACCAUCACCAUUCAAUUAGUCAUAAGAUUUUCAAACUGGUCGCAUUGUUAAAAAUUGUAAUUUGUAAAAAUAGAUUAAUAAAAUUAUCUGCCUCAAAA